rnacentral:rRNA from 1 species
AUGGGGGGAUUCAAGAGACGAGGGCUUAUGGCCUCUCCUCGCCUACGGCCGCUCACAAAAUUAACCCUCUAUACUUCCUCCGAUUUCUUUGCUGGUUCCUAUCCCUCAGGCUCACAUGACAGAGAGGUUUGUUCCCGUUCCUCCAAGCUCUUUGAUCUGAGUACGAAAAACAACACAGGAGUCCUUGCCGCUCCCGUUUGCAGCCUCCUCUCCUCCACCCUCACCAGAUUCGAGCUUGGUUUCACCAACGAGGUAGAGUGCUUGACAGAGGAGCAAGAGGAGGCCCUUCAACUUCUGACCUCUCUUAAGAGGAUCCGAUUUUUUGGGGGAUACAAGCUGCAUCGCCUCCCUGAAGGUCUACACAAGCUUAUCAACCUCAAGCAAUUAGUGAUCUGUGCGUGUUCAGCCAUCAGGUCGCUGCCCAGCCUUCCGAACUCUCUGCAGGAAUUAGAGAUAGAGCGCUGUAAUGACAUCAAGUCACUUCCCAAGGACGGCCUUCCAAGUUCAAUGAUAGAGUUAGAUGUCAGCUGUGGCAACAGCCAGGAGCUAAAGAGGGAGUGCCGCAAGAUGACAGCAAUCAUCCCUAUUGUCAGAACCUGA